rnacentral:ncRNA from 1 species
ACCACAUGGGGAGCUCGGGAAGCCGGGCUGAGAGGGCAGACGUUAUUUCUCUGCCGACCCCUGAACCUGAUCUGGGUAAUGCCAGCGUAGGGAAAC